rnacentral:rRNA from 1 species
UACGGAGGGUGCAAGCGUUGCUCGGAAUUAUUGGGCGUAAAGGGUAGGUAGGUGGUCUUAUUUGUCUGGGGUGAAAGCCUUGAGCUUAACUCAAGAAGUGCCCUAGAAACGGUAAGACUAGAGUCCUGGAGAGGGUCGUGGAAUUCCCGGUGUAGCGGUGAAAUGCGUAGAGAUCGGGAGGAACACCAGAGGCGAAGGCGGCGACCUGGACAGGCACUGACACUCAACUACGAAAGCGUGGGGAGCAAACAGG